UCAGAAAAAAUAGGAAAACCUAUUCCUUCAUUGAACGGGAUACGAUUAACAGAAUCUCACAUAUAGGUCCCCGCCUCCGGCGAGUUUUUAUUCUUUCAUUGAACGGAAUACGGAAGAGACGCUAGAUUAACAAAAUCGCACAUAUAGGUCUCCGGCCAAUUUUUUCCCUAGAUAACUGCUCUUCUUCCCCAGGUUUCAAGAUCGUUGCAGAACUCAUUCUUCUCCUUCAAUUUCUUGUCUUUAUCGGCAAAACAAUCUGCUUACCAGUAAGUGUAGAAAAGAAAAGAAUAUCUUGAACGUCAUGGACAAUCCUAGAAAUAAAAGAUGGAUGCAUUGUGAUAGAGUUAGUAAAGAAUAUUUGGAUGGAGUAGAUGAUUUUAUAAACCAUGCCUUAACAAGAUGGAGAACAAAUUGCAUGUCCUUGUAUGAAGUGUGUGCUUAUCCAUCAAGUUAAUCGGGUUACAACAUAUGAUCAUCUUGUGAUUAAUGGUAGUAUGCCAUCAUAUGAUACUUGAUUUUGUCAUGGUGAGUCUUUAAAGGGAUCAAGCAAUGCUCAAACAAAUAAUCGAAGCCAGUCAACUCUAAAGGGCGAUGAUAUGAUAGGAAUGAUACAUGAUGCCUUUGGAGGCUUUACACAGUUCAUGGAUACUGACGUUAGUGAAAGGGGUGAUGUAGAUGAUAACUUACAAGAGAAUAUUGCUUAUCCAUCUGAAAAUCAACCUCAUGUAGAGGUGGAUAAGUUUGAACGGCUCAUGAAGAAGGCAAAUGAAGAACUAUAUCUAGGAUGUAAAAAGUUUAGCAAACUGUACCUUUUGCUACAUAUGUAUCGUACAAAAUGCAUAUUCAAAUAGUCAAAUGAAUCUUUAAUGCUUUGUUUGGACUAUUGAAGGAUGCGUUGCCUGAAAGGGAAAAAUUGCCUCCUUCU